rnacentral:rRNA from 1 species
UACGUAGGGUGCGAGCGUUGUCCGGAAUUAUUGGGCGUAAAGAGCUUGUAGGCGGUUUGUCGCGUCUGCCGUGAAAGCCCAGGGCUUAACCCUGGGUCUGCGGUGGGUACGGGCAGACUAGAGUGAUGUAGGGGAGACUGGAAUUCCUGGUGUAGCGGUGAAAUGCGCAGAUAUCGGGGAGGAACACCGGUGGCGAAGGCGGUUCUCUGGGCCUUACCUGACACUGAGGAGCGAAAGCGUGGGGAGCGAACAGG